AGGACGAACGCUGGCGGCGUGCUUAACACAUGCAAGUGGAGCGACGAACCAGGGCUUGCCCUGGGGCAGAGCCGCGAACGGGUGAGUAACACGUGGGUAACGUGCCCCGAUGACUGGGACAACCCGGGGAAACCCGGGCUAAUACCGGAUGUGCUCCCUCACUUCGGUGAGACGAGUAAAGGAAGCUUCGGCCUCCGCAUUGGGAUCGGCCCGCGGCCCAUUAGCUUGUUGGUGAGGUAACGGCUCACCAAGGCCGCGAUGGGUAGCUGGUCUGAGAGGACGAUCAGCCACACUGGGACUGAGACACGGCCCAGACUCCUACGGGAGGCAGCAGUGGGGGAAUAUUGGACAAUGGGCGCAAGCCUGAUCCAGCCAUGCCGCGUGGAUGAUGAAGGCCCUAGGGUUGUAAAGUCCUUUCGGCGGGGAAGAUAAUGACGGUACCCGCAGAAGAAGCCCCGGCUAACUUCGUGCCAGCAGCCGC
rnacentral:rRNA from 1 species